rnacentral:rRNA from 1 species
GACGAACGCUGGCGGCGUGCUUAACACAUGCAAGUCGAGCGGAGCGGCGAACGGGUGAGUAACGCGUGAGUAACUGCCCCCCUCCCUGGGAUAACAGUUGGAAACGGCUGCUAAUACCGGAUAGUGGGGGAUGACUCGCGUCCUAUCAGCUUGUUGGUGGGGUAGUGGCCUACCAAGGCGACGCCGGGUAGCCGGCCUGAGAGGGCGACCGGCGACAUAGGGCUGAGGUGCGGCCCAAACUCCGACUGGUGGCAGCGGGGGGGAAUAUUGCACAAGGGGGGAAACGCGGAUGCAGCAACGCGCGGGCGGGAUAACGGCCUUCGGGUUGAAAACCGCUUUGAGCCAUGACGCGGUAGUGGCAGAAGAAGCACCGGCUAACUACGUGCCAGCAGCCGCGGUAAUAC